UACGUAGGGUGCAAGCGUUUGUCCGGAAUUAUUGGGCGUAAAGAGCUCGUAGGCGGUCUGUUGCGUCGGCUGUGAAAACCCGGGGCUCAACUCCGGGCCUGCAGCCGAUACGGGCAGACUAGAGUUCGGCAGGGGAGACUGGAAUUCCUGGUGUAGCGGUGAAAUGCGCAGAUAUCAGGAAGAACACCCGUGGCGAAGGCGGCACUCUGGGACGGUACUGACGCUGAGACGCGAAAGCGUGGGGAGCGAACAGG
rnacentral:rRNA from 1 species